GAUGAACGCUGGCGGCGUGCCUAAUACAUGCAAGUCGAGCGAACGGACGAGAAGCUUGCUUCUCUGAUGUUAGCGGCGGACGGGUGAGUAACACGUGGAUAACCUACCUAUAUGACUGGGAUAACUUCGGGAAACCGGCGCUAAUCCCGGAUGAUAUUUUGAACCGCAUGGUUCAAAAGUGAAAGACGGUCUUGCUGUCACUUAUAGAUGGAUCCGCGCUGCAUUAGCUAGUUGGUAAGGUAACGGCUUACCAAGGCAACGAUGCAUAGCCGACCUGAGAGGGUGAUAGGCCACACUGGAACUGGGACACGGUCCAGACUACUACGGGAGGCAGCAGUAGGGAAUCUUCCGCAAUGGGCGGAAGCCUGACGGAGCAACGCCGCGCGAGAGAUGAAGGUCUUCGGAUCGUAAAACUCUGUUAUUAGGGAAGAACAUAUGUGUAAGUAGAUGUGCACAUCUUGACGGUACCUAAUCAGAAAGCAACGGCUAACUACGUG
rnacentral:rRNA from 1 species